UACGUAGGGUGCGAGCGUUGUCCGGAAUUAUUGGGCGUAAAGGGCUCGUAGGCGGUUUGUCGCGUCGGGAGUGAAAUCCACUGGCUUAACUGGUGGCUUGCUUUCGAUACGGGCAGACUGGAGGCAUGCAGGGGAGAACGGAAUUCCUGGUGUAGCGGUGAAAUGCGCAGAUAUCAGGAGGAACACCGGUGGCGAAGGCGGAUCUCUGGGCCAUUACUGACGCUGAGGAGCGAAAGCGUGGGGAGCGAACAGG
rnacentral:rRNA from 1 species